UUAAAUGAUGAAAUUAUGAUUCUACAGACCUGUUCUGACCUCCUUUUUUGAGGAAUGCAGAUACUAUUCAUUGCCUUUUUUUUCUGACU
rnacentral:snoRNA from 1 species